CCUCAGAAAUUCAACCAACAGUCUCAGAGUGUCAUCUCACAAGAAAACAAGAUGUGCAGAGCCGACCUAAUCACUCUUCGCUCCAACACUGGGGAGCAGACGACGAUCCCCCUUAAUAACAAGGUGCAGCUCAGGGGGCAACAUGUGACGGUUGGGGAACUGAGGCAACGCGCAGCGGAGGUGUUUCCAAAAUCAGGAUACAAAGCGAGUGACGUGCGGCUGAUCGUGGCAGACAAGCAACUGAACGAUGACUCUGUUCCACUCUGCCAUUGUGGGAUCGAGUCCGGGUCUGUUGUCCAGAUGGUGUGUAAGGUUCACGGAGGCUGAUUGACAGCAUUGGAGCAAAGAGCCAAGACCGGAACCCUCAGGGCGUUUCAUCCUUAUAAAAUAUGUCAUUCCUCUCAGUCACAGUUUAUGCAAAUCCUCGGGAAUUAUUUUUAUAAUGCAACUUUGAAAAUCAUAUUUGAACGUAAUCUUGUUCAUCUUGGAACAAACAUGUUUAGCGUUUCUAAUUUAUGUAAAUGUACUCUUUUAGACAUCUAUUAAAAUUUAUUUUCUUAUGUU